rnacentral:tRNA from 1 species
GCUUUCGUGGUGUAGUGGUCAGCACACUCGGCACAAAUUCGAGAUAUCCGUGGUUCGAGUCCCGUCAAGGGCA